rnacentral:rRNA from 1 species
GGUCAGGAUGAACGCUAGCGACAGGCUUAACACAUGCAAGUCGAGGGGCAUCACGGGAGUAGCAAUACAACUGGUGGCGACCGGCGCACGGGUGAGUAACGCGUAUGCAACCUACCUAUCAGAGGGGAAUAACCCGGCGAAAGUCGGACUAAUACCGCAUAAAACAGGGGCACCGCAUGGUGAUAUUUGUUAAAGAAAUUCGCUGAUAGAUGGGCAUGCGUUCCAUUAGGUAGUUGGUGAGGUAACGGCUCACCAAGCCGACGAUGGAUAGGGGAACUGAGAGGUUGGUCCCCCACACUGGUACUGAGACACGGACCAGACUCCUACGGGAGGCAGCAGUGAGGAAUAUUGGUCAAUGGGCGGGAGCCUGAACCAGCCAAGUCGCGUGAAGGAAAAGAAGGAUCUAUGGUUCGUAAACUUCUUUUGCAGGGGAAUAAAGUGCAGGGCGUGUCCUGUUUUGUAUGUACCCUGAGAAUAAGGAUCGGCUAACUCCGUGCCAGCAGCAGC